rnacentral:rRNA from 1 species
GGAUUAGAUACCCUGGUAGUCCUGGCUGUAAACGAUGAACACUGGGUUGGGGGAGCUUGCUCUCCCAGCCGUAGCGAAAGCGUUAAGUGUUCCGCCUGGGGAGUAUGGUCGCAAGGCUGAAACUCAAAGGAAUUGACGGGGGCUCACACAAGCGGUGGAGGAUGUGGCUUAAUUCGAGACAACGCGAAGAACCUUAUCCAGGGCUUGACAUCUAUGGAUUAGGCCUGUGAAAGCAGGUUGACGCCUUCGGGUGGAACAUAGACAGGUGCUGCAUGGCUGUCGUCAGCUCGUGUCG